ensembl:lncRNA
CAAGAAACAGUCCGGAGGAAAACAAUGAAAAUGCUGCCUCUGGGAAAGGAGAUGUGGUAUUAGUAAAGAGAAGGCAGAUUUUCUGGUUUUAGAUUUCUUGAAGAGAGGGAAAUCAAGUGGAUUUAUUAUGUGAAUGGAAUCUAACUUGGACCUGUGUCUAUGCACGUACACACCUAUGCAUACACACGUAUGUAUACUACAGAUACAUAUACAGCAGUGUUGUUGUGAUAUUCUCCAAGGAGAGUGACAAGUCCCUUAUCAGCCUUUCGGUUCCCGGGCUCACGUUCCUCUGACCUUCUUCUUACUUCUAGAAAUAAG